rnacentral:tRNA from 1 species
GCUCGUCUGGCGCAACUGGCAGACGCACAGUCCUGAGAAGGCUGACAGUGCAGGUUCAACUCCUGCGACGAGCA